rnacentral:rRNA from 1 species
UACGUAGGGUGCGAGCGUUGCCCGGAUUUAUUGGGCGUAAAGGGCGCGUAGGCGCCACGCACGUCCGUUGUGAAAUCGCCCGGCUCAACUGGGCGGGGUCGGCGGAUACGGCGUGGCUGGAGCAAGCUAGGGGGCAAUGGAAUUCCCGGUGUAGUGGUGGAAUGCGUAGAGAUGUGGAGGAACACCAGUGGCGAAGGCGACUCUUUGGUCUGUAACUGACGCUGAGGCGCGAAAGCGUGGGAG